rfam:Clostridium difficile 630 complete genome
GAAAACUUACCUCUACACAAAUGUAUACGAUGAAGCGUUGUGUAGAGG